CGUAAAGCUCUUUUACCAGGGAUGAUAAUGACAGUACCUGGAGAAUAAGCUCCGGCUAACUCCGUGCCAGCAGCCGCGGUAAUACGGAGGGAGCUAGCGUUGUUCGGAAUUACUGGGCGUAAAGCGUACGUAGGCGGUUAUUCAAGUCAGAGGUGAAAGCCCGGGGCUCAACCCCGGAACGGCCUUUGAAACUAGAUAGCUAGAGUCUUGGAGAGGUCAGUGGAAUUCCGAGUGUAGAGGUGAAAUUCGUAGAUAUUCGGAAGAACACCAGUGGCGAAGGCGACUGACUGGACAAGUACUGACGCUGAGGUACGAAAGCGUGGGGAGCAAACAGGAUUAGAUACCCUGGUAGUCCACGCCGUAAACGAUGAUAACUAGCUGUCCGGGUACUUGGUAUCUGGGUGGCGCAGCUAACGCAUUAAGUUAUCCGCCUGGGGA
rnacentral:rRNA from 1 species